rnacentral:lncRNA from 1 species
AAAAGUUUUUUUUGAAGAGAUGAAUGUGAGUUUUAGAACGUAUGAAGAUUUUUAAAAAAGUAAGUGAUAAUGGAAGUAGGUGUAUGAAUUUGGAUUUGAAGUGUUUAUUGAAUAAAAAGAAAAUUACAUUUAUAUUGAACCAACAAAAAAAAAGUCACUCCAUUACUACCUUUUGGUGUUUUUUCAAUGUUAUGGGAGAGACUCAUGAGUUGAAUGGAAGUAAGUGAGUUUUUUUGAAUGGUAAAAGAUGGUUAUUU